UUGCGGUUCGCCAUUUUGGAGUGUGCUGGGCUGUCCCCCAGAUUCCUGCGCGUCCGCCGUCAUUUGCAUAAAUUGGACGGAGAAAAGGAAGAAAUCUCGGAAUGGGAAUACAGAACGGCUUCAGUCCCACUGGGAAAAACGUAUUCUGACUUUUAUCUCAGAAUUCUUUCUGCUUUUUUUUUUUUUUAAGUCAAAAGUCCUUUUUCGUCGGCCUUAUGGUCCUCUUACUUACAAGUUACAACACAGUAAAUAGCAGAUGGGGAAAAAGAACAUUUUACAGAAUGUAUUAAGUGAUUUUUCCAUGUAUGGUUGUUACCAAUGAGUACGGUACUUUAUUUAUUUGUGAAAACACAAAGGCAUGUGUAUUCACAACAUCAUUAAAUAAAUAAGAUAAUUCA